rnacentral:ncRNA from 1 species
AUCAGACGGCAGCAGUGAUUUGCCGAAAGAUAGCAAAAAAAUCAGU